AAAGCUACACGAGCAGUUUUUGUUUCUCUCCGAGAAAAAGAUGAAGCUGCGGCGUGCGUCCGUUCGCUCUGCUUUUCCUCUUCACUGGCCUGUGCGGAGGACUCCGUGUUUAAGGCCUUGCUUGUUACUUCUAAUUGAUUUCUUUUCAUGUGCUUGUCUUUCUCACCAGGGCAGUGGAGUGUUAAACGGCCCCGGCAAGAGUGGCUCCCCCUCACAUGCGCUCACUGCCAGCCAAACCAAAUUGUACUUUAACUCCAGGAAAGAUGAAAUGCUGCCUCUCAUGAGGGUUGCUGUCUAUCCGGCAUCUCGCCGACAUUUAUGGAAGAAGAACUCGGCAUUGCGUGGCUUCCGCUCGACUGACAAGCUCUGAAAAACGCAACGACGGAGCGUGCCACCUGAUCCGUGACAAAAAGCGUCCAUUCUUUCUGAUCGGGCCGUGGGAACGUAUACAGUGUUGAAAACUGUCAACGUCAAUCUGAUUUAACCUCUGAAACCCCAAAGCCCAACGGGGACACACUUUCUGGUUGACACCUUCCGGAUGUUGAUAUGAUGUGUAGCCACAUUUUUUUUCCCAGGAUCUGAUAAAUUGAUAAAUGCCAUUGUGGGUCUCUAAAGAACAAAACGACUGCUGUGUGAGAAGAGAAAUCAGUACUGUUUACAGAGAUAUGAUGGCUGCCUCCCUCUCUUCAGACCAACAUUAAAGUGAAGGUGGCCUGGGGAUCUCUCUCUCCCCCUCUCUUUCUCUCUCUUUCUCUCUCUCUCUUCAUCUGUCUAUCAGCCCGUAAGCCAGCCAUGGAGAUGAAACACAGAACACACUCGUCUUUAUGGGCCCCUAUGAGCAGCCAAAAAGAUCUGCAGGAAAAACGGCCACUGCUGCCACCACCACCACCACAACAACAACAACACUGGUGACAGUUCAGCCUCAGGAUAACAAGACUUUAUAACCUCAUGAAGAGACUGUCUGAUCAUCCGGCCUGAUCUUUAUGAUUCAGACAGAAGGAAAGAGAAGCCCAAGAAGAGAGGAAGGGUACCUCUGAGAGACGCUGAGGUUAUAUAUGUUUGUCUCGUACCACAUACACACCUGCUGCUCGUGUCCCUCCUCACUCCAUGAACUCAAAGGAAGGAGAAUCCAGAAAUGUCCUGCAGAGAACAAAAAAAAAAUGAACAAUUCGGAAUAGAAACCUUCGGAGACAGUGGCUCAGUUAGUGCAGUGAUGCAUGGAAUAGUGAAAAUGAAACAGACUGAAAAUGUCUUAACUUAUGAAUGAAUCAUUCUGAUUCAUUCGUUUUAUGAACUGGAUCAAACGAUUCAUUGAAAAGAUCCAACUCAGAUGAAUGAUUCCUCCAAGAAUUGGGACAAUGCUGUUUCUUAGCUAUCAUAAUGAGUAUAGCACAUAAUUCAUAUAUGGACCACUUUUAAAAUACAUGUAUAGUGCUUUUUUAUUUAUUUAUUUUAAUUGAAAGCCACUAGAAUGUUCUUAACACAAAUGUAUCAUUUAUUUUUUAGAAUAAAAUAAAAUUUGUAUUUUUUAUUUAUUUAUUUUUUUUAAAUGUCACGAAAACAAAUGUAAAUGUUUCCUUAAAAGAAGCAUCACCAAAGGAAGAGGUUAAUUUGAAUGAAUAUAUAAUUAUACAGAAUGUGUGAAUUAUAAUA